rnacentral:tRNA from 1 species
GCCUGGUGGCUCAGCGGUUGAGCACCUGCCUUCGGCUCAGGGCAUGAUCCUGAUUCCUGGGUUCGAGUCCCACAUCAGGCU